rnacentral:other from 1 species
GAUUCACUGCGGCGUUGGUGACUGCCAACAAUGUUUUAUGAUCUAUGUUUUUUGAAUCUGGGAGUCCAAUCAGGCUGAUGGCAGUAGACCGAGCUUGUACUCGGAAACUUUAUAUCCGCCACUAUCGACACCCACCUGGUUUUAACCAGGUCAAAAGCUGAGGUAAGACGGCGCUGCGGUAUCCUA